CUGCCAGCAGCCAGAGGGGCAGGAGCAGGAGCUCCUGGAGUUAAGAUGCCAGAACCACAGAAAAAUAUCUUUGUGUAAAAGAAAAGCUUGAUGUGAAGAACAGACUACCAUUCAGGUUCUAGAGGCUUGGAAUAAUUUGGCAAUCAGCAGCAGCACCAAGGAGAACUUGAAGCAGCCAUUUUAAAGAUGCUGCUCCCCACCUGCCAGCAGUCCCAUCCCAUCUGGCCAGCUGAACUUGCCCUGCCUGCAGGAAUCCCAGGCCAUUCUCCAUGAAGACUCCAUCUGUUCACUCCAUCCAGCACCCCCAGCAGUGGGUGCAGGGUGGAUGGGCCAGGAUGCCCAGACAGCAGGGCCAGGUCUGGCAGUGGUGAUAGAAGGAGCCACUGCCAUGGGGCUGCUGGGAAGCUUAGUGUGGUUGCCAUGCUUGCCCCAGCCCAUUGCAUGCCUGCAGGUGGUGGGACUGGAUCAUGCACAGUGGCCUAGGCUCCCCACCACACCUGGGAUGGGCAGGGACAAGGGACCCAGUGCAGGCUGGACAGAAUCCCUUGGUGUUCCAGAUGUAUUUUGUCCAUCCCUGGUCUACACAACAAGUGAAACGAGUGUAUGGAAAGAUCUGAAAAGGAAACCACUCCAGUUAUUCUGGUAUAACACCAUGUAUGGACAUUCUUAUGUUGCUUUAGAAUAAGUGUUAACUAAACAAGAAAUAGCAAUGAGACAAUAUUCUGAGGAAAUAUUUGGAAGCAAUGUGGUCCAUAGGAGAAGCCACAGGCAGCUGCUGAAUUUUAGCACUGCUACCUGCUUAUUGGCCUCUCACCUACACAGCUGUCCAGGAUCAAAAAGCUACAAAUAACUGGAAACAACCUUAAUCCUUCCCUCUUUUUAUACUUCUAUAGUGCACCUUGCACCUUUUUACAAGUACAACACACACACAUACUUUGAUGGAAAUAUAUUUUCCUUGGGACCAGGGGCAGGUCCAGAGGGCACUGUCACUUUUGCUAUGUGCUGCACUUGCAAUGAGCUCAAAAUGCUCACUGGUAUGCCUGUAAAGCUUCUGCUGGGAAUUCUAUAUUUGCCAUGACCUCUGAGCUCUCUGAUUUGCUUAAGCACAAGAUCUAUUCAGACCCCCUACUUGCACACAGCUCAAGCCCAGGUGGUGAGCGCUGCUGCUGUUCUCUCUUCCCCUCCCUACUUCUCCCUUUUUAGUUCAGCAGCAGAAGUGAAAAGGGAAUGAGUAGCUGUAUUUUCAGCUUCUGCUUUUUCAGCUUUAUAGCUUGGGGUUGAACCCUGCUGCCACUUGGGCCUUUUUUCCCAGUGCUUCUUAACUCAGGGGUGGGGGUAAAGGGGAGGGAAGAGUGAAAAGCAGCAGUAUUCAGGUCCUGGGCUCCAGAGCUACAUGCAAGCAGGGGUUCUGAGUAAACCCAGUGCCAACCAGCUGGUGAGCUCAGAGAGCUCAUGGCACAUACUGCUCCCAGGUGCCAUUGAGCUCAGUAUAGAGUUUGGCUGCAACCCCUUCAGCUGUAUAACAUGUGUAGUGAGUUCUCUUCACUGUGGAUGUGUGUCAGAGCCAAAGGGGGUUUGGAAGCAUUGCUUUCAUUGCAAUAGUGGAUCUGCCAAUGAUUAACUAUGUAUCAGUACCAUUUCAAGUCUCCUCUCACACCCAUGUAAACUGGGGAUAACCCCACAGAUAUCAAUGAAAUAACACUGACGUAAACCUAUACGUGUGACAGAAUAUUCAGUCCAACCAUGUCUAGCGUCAUUUAUUCCAACCCUGUAAAAGAGCACCAGCAGCAAGCUUGCCAUUAUGAACACAAGAAAAAAUAAAAUCCCAUCGAGGUACAAGACACCCUUCUCUCAUCACCACAAAAUCCAAAAUCCUACAGAAUAUAGGAAAGGCAUGUUUUGUUUGAAAUCCUCCAAUACUAUCAGAACAUAAAUUUCCAUAUUCCCCUCCAGUAGAAAACCUGCAGAUUAUGGACAAAGUAAAUACACUCUUCAUGGAUUACCUCUCCUUUUUCAAGAAAUUGUCUUCAUUUCAAAUUGGUGGGAUUCCCAGGUUUGUAAAAUAGGCAAAAAGUGAGUGUUCCCAAAUUUACUAGUCAAAAGAAAAUAUAUAUUUUUUUAAUAUCAUGAAUACAGAAGGUUCAUCAGGGCAUAAUGACUGUAACAGGAUUCCUGACUGGAGCCUGUUACUUGGGGAAAAUCCCCACAGUUGGCAGCCAUGAUGUCC